rnacentral:rRNA from 1 species
GGGCGAAAGCCUGAUCCCGCCAUGCCGCGUGUGUGAAGAAGGUCUUCGGAUUGUAAAGCACUUUAAGUUGGGAGGAAGGGCAUUAACCUAAUACGUUAGUGUUUUGACGUUACCGACAGAAUAAGCACCGGCUA